UACGUAGGGUGCAAGCGUUGUCCGGAAUUAUUGGGCGUAAAGAGCUCGUAGGCGGUCUGUCGCGUCUGCUGUGAAAACUCGGGGCUUAACCCCGGGCCUGCAGUGGGUACGGGCAGACUAGAGUGCGGUAGGGGAGACUGGAAUUCCUGGUGUAGCGGUGAAAUGCGCAGAUAUCAGGAGGAACACCAGUGGCGAAGGCGGCUCGCUGGACCGGUUCUGACGCUGAGGCGCGAAAGCGUGGGGAGCAAACGGG
rnacentral:rRNA from 1 species